rnacentral:rRNA from 1 species
GACGAACGCUGGCGGCGUGCUUAACACAUGCAAGUCGAACGGAAAGGCCCUGCUUUUGUGGGGUGCUCGAGUGGCGAACGGGUGAGUAACACGUGAGUAACCUGCCCUUGACUUUGGGAUAACUUCAGGAAACUGGGGCUAAUACCGGAUAGGAGCUCCUGCUGCAUGGUGGGGGUUGGACAGUUUCGGCGGUUGGGGAUGGACUCGCGGCUUAUCAGCUUGUUGGUGGGGUAGUGGCUUACCAAGGCUUUGACGGGUAGCCGGCCUGAGAGGGUGACCGGCGACAUUGGGACUGAGAUACGGCCCAGACUCCUACGGGAGGCAGCAGUGGGGAAUAUUGCACAAUGGGCGGAAGCCUGAUGCAGCAACGCCGCGUGCGGGAUGACGGCCUUCGGGUUGUAAACCGCUUUCGCCUGUGACGAAGCGUGAGUGACGGUAAUGGGUAAAGAAGCACCGGCUAACUACGUG